rnacentral:lncRNA from 1 species
UGUCAACAUCAUUCAACUUCAUCCUUACCCUUUGUUAGAUGUGAUGACAGUCUGCCCACGUGACCCUGACCAGUUCAACUUGCAAUAAAUCAAGGGGAUGCUUUAAAGACUAGAACCUUACUGCUGCUGCUGCUGCUGCUGCUGCUACUACUAUUUGAGCUCAGAUCAAGUCCCUGAACCAGUGAACCCGGAAGGAACCUGCUGGUGAAGAGGGAGCCCAGACAGAGGAGAAGCAAGAGACGGACUUGGUGGAGUCUGUUUUGAACCUACUCUCUCAAGGGCUACAGUGGAGCUUAUGCAUGUGGCUUUGGGGAAACGGAACCCUCCGUUGGCCUUUGGAAUUCAGGAUGUGCACAGGCAUAGUCAACACUCACUCCUGUGUAGCUUGGUAGUGAUAAUGCUUCUGUCUCUCCUCUGCUCAGGGAGCUCUGUGGUAACAGAAGAUGAAGCAUGGUGAGAUACUGUGGUCCUUUCAUUUGUGUUGGAUGGAAGAUGCCCCUGUCAGCUGAGGAUCCUCAGCAAAGGGGUUAGAAGGGAGCAGAGAGAAGACACGCCUACAAAGGCCUUGCCAUUAAGCAUAGAGGAUGAUGGAGUGAACGGUAGUCCAAUUCUAACAUUGAUGUGGAGGGCCAUACCUUCCCAUGGGAUUCUGCCUUGUUAAAGUCAGGGCAUUGGUAAAUUCUCUGAGGAACAAAUCACAAAUAUCUCUGCACUGGUUGAUCUUAUCCCAAGUAUUCUAAAAUUCCACAGAGUGGAAAGACAGGAAAGAAUUCAAGUAUAAUUGUGUGUGUGUGUGUUUCUGUGUAUAUGUAUAUGCAUGUGUAUGUGUCUGUGUCUAUGCAUAUGUAUGUGUGACUCUUCCAGCACACUGUGUCAGUGGCCUGAAAUCUGACCCAUGAUCUACAAUAUGACUAUGUUUGCUAAGUGCUGGCUAUUGUCAUUUGAUGGUAGACUUGUGUCUUCUCCUGACUAGACUUCAGGUGGCAGUAAGAGCCUCUGCUGGUGUUUGCAGCCAUUUCCAGAGACAAGGACUCUGCUGCUAUUGUACUUCGUCAUAGCAAGGAAUGCUCUUUGUUGUGUCAUUCGUGUUAAAAGGAGGUCCAGGAAGUGGAAACAGAUGUUAAGAAGAGCUGAGCUUCUCUGGGGAACAUAAGAUGAACCCAUGGGUUCAAAAUAGAAUCUAGCAUAGUUUUAGGUUUUAUUAAUUUUUUGAGAUAAUUUGUGUGUGUGUGUGUGUGUGUGUGUGUGUGUGUGUGUGUGUGUAGCCUGGCUGUCCUGAAAUUCAUUCGGUAGACCAGGCUAGUUUUCAACUCAGAGAUCUGCCUGCCUCUGUCCCCCAAGUGCUGACAUUAAAGGCAUG